UACGUAGGGUGCGAGCGUUAAUCGGAAUUACUGGGCGUAAAGCGUGCGCAGGCGGUUUUGUAAGCCAGAUGUGAAAUCCCCAGGCUUAACCUGGGAAUGGCAUUUGGGACUGCAAGGCUUGAGUUUGGCAGAGGAGACUGGAAUUCCUGGUGUAGCAGUGAAAUGCGUAGAUAUCAGGAGGAAUACCGAUGGCGAAGGCAGGUCUCUGGGCUAGAACUGACGCUCAUGCACGAAAGCGUGGGGAGCAAACAGG
rnacentral:rRNA from 1 species